AGACGUUCAAGAGCCUCAGCUUCUGUGAGCCACCAGGCCGAACAUUGCUGUGCUCUGUAGUAGAGGUAUUUUAUUGUCGUCUCGUCAAUACCAUCUUACUUUAAAACUAAUUCCUGCUUCCAACAUUCUGUUGUUAUGCAGCAGUUGAACAAGACUGUAGAAAAGCACACAGCUGUGUGGACUUGUCUUACUUUAAAUGGUUCCUUAGCGCUGCCCGUAAUGCUGCCCACUAAGUUCCCCCAAAAUUCCCUAAGUAAUUUGUUUUCUCUUCCCCUCUCCAAUCUCCUCCACCUCAGCUAAUCUUUCUUCAGCGGAACUUGUUGAGAGUUCUUGGGAGAGAACCUUGCAUUCUCUCUUGAAUAUGGUACUCACGCUUUUGUCC
rnacentral:lncRNA from 1 species